CCUACGGGGGGCUGCAGUGGGGAAUAUUGCACAAUGGGCGCAAGCCUGAUGCAGCCAUGCCGCGUGUGUGAAGAAGGCCUUCGGGUUGUAAAGCACUUUCAGCGGGGAGGAAGGCGUUAAGGUUAAUAACCUUGUCGAUUGACGUUACCCGCAGAAGAAGCACCGGCUAACUCCGUGCCAGCAGCCGCGGUAAUACGGAGGGUGCAAGCGUUAAUCGGAAUUACUGGGCGUAAAGCGCACGCAGGCGGUCUGUCAAGUCGGAUGUGAAAUCCCCGGGCUCAACCUGGGAACUGCAUUCGAAACUGGCAGGCUAGAGUCUUGUAGAGGGGGGUAGAAUUCCAGGUGUAGCGGUGAAAUGCGUAGAGAUCUGGAGGAAUACCGGUGGCGAAGGCGGCCCCCUGGACAAAGACUGACGCUCAGGAGCGAAAGCGUGGGGAGCAAACAGGAUUAGAUACCCGGGUAGUC
rnacentral:rRNA from 1 species